rnacentral:rRNA from 1 species
UAACACAUGCAAGUCGAACGAGAAACUCCGAGCUUGCUCGGAGGAGUAAAGUGGCGCACGGGUGAGUAACGCGUGGGUAACCCGCCCUUGAAUUUGGGAUAACCCCGUGAAAACGGGACUAAUACCGGAUACUGUCCUGAGAACCUUGGUUUUCGGGAUGAAAGGUGACCUCUUCAUGAAAGUUGCCGUUCAGGGAAGGGCUCGCGUACCAUUAGCUUGUUGGUAGGGUAAUGGCCUACCAAGGCGACGAUGGUUAGCUGGUCUGAGAGGAUGAUCAGCCACACUGGAACUGAAACACGGUCCAGACUCCUACAGGAGGCAGCAGUGAGGAAUUUUGCGCAAUGGGGGAAACCCUGACGCAGCAACGCCGCGCGAGUGAAGAAGGCCUUCGGGUCGUAAAGCUCUGUCAAGUGGGAGAAAAUGUCCCAGGUUAAUAGCCCGGGAAAUUGAUGGUACCACUGGAGGAAGCACCGGCUAACUCCGUGCCAGCAGCCGCGGUAAUACGGAGGGUGCAAGCGUUGUUCGGAAUUACUGGGCGUAAAGAGCGUGUAGGCGGUUUGGUAAGUCAGGCGUGA